GUGCCAGCAGCCGCGGUAAUACAGAGGUCCCAAGCGUUGUUCGGAUUCACUGGGCGUAAAGGGUGCGUAGGUGGUCGGGUAAGUCUGAUGUGAAAUCUCCGAGCUUAACUCGGAAAUGGCAUUGGAUACUAUUCGGCUAGAGGGUUUGAGGGGGGACUGGAAUACUUGGUGUAGCAGUGAAAUGCGUAGAUAUCAAGUGGAACACCAGUGGCGAAGGCGAGUCCCUGGAAAACUCCUGACACUGAGGCACGAAAGCUAGGGGAGCAAACAGGAUUAGAAACCCCCGUAGUCC
rnacentral:rRNA from 1 species